rnacentral:rRNA from 1 species
AACGCUUGCUACAGGCUUAACACAUGCAAGUCGAGGGGCGUCAGGAAGAAAGCUUGCUUUCUUUGCUGGCGACCGGCGCACGGGUGAGUAACACGUAUCCAACCUGCCCUUUACUCGGGGAUAGCCUUUCGAAAGAAAGAUUAAUACCCGAUAGCAUAAUGAUUCCGCAUGGUUUCAUUAUUAAAGGAUUCCGGUAAAGGAUGGGGAUGCGUUCCAUUAGGUUGUUGGUGAGGUAACGGCCCACCAAGCCUUCGAUGGAUAGGGGUUCUGAGAGGAAGGUCCCCCACAUUGGAACUGAGACACGGUCCAAACUCCUACGGGAGGCAGCAGUGAGGAAUAUUGGUCAAUGGGCGCUAGCCUGAACCAGCCAAGUAGCGUGAAGGAUGAAGGCUCUAUGGGUCGUAAACUUCUUUUAUAUAAGAAUAAAGUGCAGUAUGUAUACUGUUUUGUAUGUAUUAUAUGAAUAAGGAUCGGCUAACUCCGUGCCAGCAGCCGCGGUAAUACGGGGGAUCCGAGCGUUAUCCGGAUUUAUUGGGUUUAAAGGGAGCGUAGGUGGACUGGUAAGUCAGUUGUGAAAGUUUGCGGCUCAACCGUAAAAUUGCAGUUGAUACUGUCAGUCUUGAGUACAGUAGAGGUGGGCGGAAUUCGUGGUGUAGCGGUGAAAUGCUUAGAUAUCACGAAGAACUCCGAUUGCGAAGGCAGCUCACUGGACUGCAACUGACACUGAUGCUCGAAAGUGUGGGUAUCAAACAGGAUUAGAUACCCUGGUAGUCCACACAGUAAACGAUGAAUACUCGCUGUUUGCGAUAUACAGUAAGCGGCCAAGCGAAAGCAUUAAGUAUUCCACCUGGGGAGUACGCCGGCAACGGUGAAACUCAAAGGAAUUGACGGGGGCCCGCACAAGCGGAGGAACAUGUGGUUUAAUUCGAUGAUACGCGAGGAACCUUACCCGGGCUUAAAUUGCAGUGGAAUGAUGUGGAAACAUGUCAGUGAGCAAUCACCGCUGUGAAGGUGCUGCAUGGUUGUCGUCAGCUCGUGCCGUGAGGUGUCGGCUUAAGUGCCAUAACGAGCGCAACCCUUAUCUUUAGUUACUAACAGGUUAUGCUGAGGACUCUAGAGAGACUGCCGUCGUAAGAUGUGAGGAAGGUGGGGAUGACGUCAAAUCAGCACGGCCCUUACGUCCGGGGCUACACACGUGUUACAAUGGGGGGUACAGAAGGCAGCUAGCGGGUGACCGUAUGCUAAUCCCAAAAUCCUCUCUCAGUUCGGAUCGAAGUCUGCAACCCGACUUCGUGAAGCUGGAUUCGCUAGUAAUCGCGCAUCAGCCACGGCGCGGUGAAUACGUUCCCGGGCCUUGUACACACCGCCCGUCAAGCCAUGGGAGCCGGGGGUACCUGAAGUACGUAACCGCAAGGAUCGUCCUAGGGUAAAACUGGUGACUGGGGCU